CAUAGUGCUAAACUUUUGCUCAGCACUGUAGUGCUAAACUUUUGCACAUAACUAUAACUAGCGGGUUGUCACUGCAUGCAUAUGCAAUGUAUGUGUGUGUGUCAGCAGCCGCUAGUUACAAGUUUUUUCAUCUCAUGGUUGUUGUUGCCGUCUGCUGAAUUCAAUCAGCAGCCGGCUUCAGUGACAAAAGAAGAAGUCAAAAUAAUUAUUAGUGAUCGAUACCUUAAACAAAACGUUCGCUCUCCCCGUGACAACAAACAAAAGCAACAAAAAAGGGAAUUAGAAUUUUUGAAAAUUAAGAACAAAUGUGAAUGUGAAACCAAGUGUAUAAAAAAGAAAAUUUAAAAUUAUUAAAACUAUUAUUGCACGAAUUGAUUUAACCUAAAUUAUAUUGCACCUUUGUUACUAUAUUGCACUUACCCAUCGUUUUGAUACAUAAUAAAUUUGUGAACUGAAAAUUAAAAGUGCCAAUUGUACAUUCCUUGGAAAGAAAAAACAAAAGGAAUGGCAGCCUACUUGCCCCGUCCAGAAGACGAGCGGCCUCAAGGAAAAGAGCGUCGUCAUCGGGACGAACGAGGAGCGGAACCCCGGCCCCAACGAAAUCCGUCUCGAAAUCGCGACCGCGAUCAUGUAGAUCGGCGCGGAAGACCCACUUUCUGGCAGUACUCUUGCGGUCUCUGCCAAGAUGACCAUGCGCUGAGCACAUGCCGCCGAUUCCGGGACCAGACCCCAUACCAACGUUACGAAACUGUGGAGCGGCGGGGGUAUUGCCGUAAUUGCUUGGCGCGCAGUCAUCUUGCACCUGAUUGCCAGUCCAUCGCAGGCUGCCGUCGCUGCGAGGAGCGACAUCACACGCUGCUGCAUGGGGCACCGCAGCUUGAAAACAUGGAGAGGCCCGCCGAUGAUUUUGCUCCUGCCAACAACGCCAGACCUGCACCCACAGCAUCCCCACCCUUUAAGUGGGAUCUUGUCUUUGUGCCUACUGCCAUGGUACGAAUAGCAGAGGAUGGGGUCGAUACUUGGACCACCGUGCGAGCGUUGAUCAAUCAAUCAUCUACAAUGUCUCGGCUGGCCUAUUCUACAUUCCGGCGACUUGGACUACGAUCGUGUACAUACCAGGGCAACAGGUUUACAACCUUCCGAUUGAUGCAUCGCAGCCCAAAUAGCAACUGGGCACUUAAGAUUAAUGCACUCAUCACAGAUGCAUUGCCUUUCCGACCCUACUCAGACCCACUUUUGGAGGACCCGACCCGUGAUUUAGCGCAAGACACCCUUGCUGAUACAGACCCUAGAGCCAACACGUCAAUAGACUUAGAAUUGGGCGCGGAUGUCUAUCCGAGACUGCAGAGGGAUGGCCAUGUCUUUGCCGGCAUUGGGGAUGUCAACGCAUUCCAGACCACUCUUGGCUACGUCUUUGUCGGCCCCAUCCGGAAUAUGCCUAGACACUAAGCUAACAUUUUAGAAGAAUUACACUUGUCACGGGGGGGCAAGAUGUUUAGCAUAGUGCUAAACUUUUGCUCAGCACUGUAGUGCUAAACUUUUGCACAUAACUAUAACUAGCGGGUUGUCACUGCAUGCAUAUGCAAUGUAUGUGUGUGUGUCAGCAGCCGCUAGUUACAAGUUUUUUCAUCUCAUGGUUGUUGUUGCCGUCUGCUGAAUUCAAUCAGCAGCCGGCUUCAGUGACAAAAGAAGAAGUCAAAAUAAUUAUUAGUGAUCGAUACCUUAAACAAAACGUUCGCUCUCCCCGUGACAACAAACAAAAGCAACAAAAAAGGGAAUUAGAAUUUUUGAAAAUUAAGAACAAAUGUGAAUGUGAAACCAAGUGUAUAAAAAAGAAAAUAGAUCUACCUAUAUACUUACCAAGCUAUAUACUUACCUACCUAUAUACUUACCAAGCUAUACACUUACCUGCCUGUGUACUUACAUGCCUAUACCUACUUAUAUAUGUUAAACCAUAAAUACAUAAAAAUUAAAGAAGCCAUUUACACUGUUGAACAAAAAUACUCACCCAAAUGUACCAUCUGAAAGAAAAGUUAAAAAUACAAAAAAAGACAAAUUAAUUUUUACCUGAAUUGUUAAUUCUUGCUAAGUGUUGCCUAG